UCAAGCGAAUAAGAGCUUACGACGGAUACCUUGGUGUUCAGAAGCGAUGAAGGGCGUGGCUACCAACGAAAUGUUUCGGGGAACUGGAAGCAAGUUUUGAUCCGAAAAUUCCCGAAUAAGGAAACUUCAUGAACUACUUCUUGAAUUCAUAAAGAAGAAAGAGCAAACCUAGUGAAUUGAAACAUCUUAGUAACUAGAGGAAAAGAAAGCAAAAGCGAUUCCCUGAGUAGCGGCGAGCGAAAUGGGACCAGUCUAAACUCUAUUUUUUAGAGGGUUGUGGGACAAUGUUAAUAAAGUCAAUAAGUUAGGUGAAGCAGCUGGAAUACUGCACCAAAGAGAGUGAAAGUCUCGUAUUCGAAAACUAUUAUAGCUUUAAAUUGUAUCCCAAGUAGGAAGGGACACGUGAAACCCCUUUUGAAUUUGCGAGGACCACCUCGUAAGACUAAAUAUUCCUGAAUAACCGAUAGUGAACCAGUACCGUGAGGGAAAGGUGAAAAGAACCCCGGGAGGGGAGUGAAAUAGAACAUGAAAUCGUAAGUUUACAAGCAGUAGAAGAGCGACUUAACGCUCGACUUCGUGCCUGUUGAAGAAUGAGCUGGCGACUUGUAGGCUAUGGCAAGGUUAAAAUAAGAAAAUAUUGGAGCCAGAGUGAAAGCGAGCUUGAUAAGAGCGUUAAGUCAUAGUUUACAGACCCGAACCCGGAUGAUCUAACCAUGGCCAGUGUGAAGCUUAGGUAACACUAAGUGGAGGUACGAACCGACUGUUGUUGAAAAAACAGCGGAUGAGUUGUGGUUAGGGGUGAAAUUCCAAUCGAAUCCGGAGCUAGCUGGAUCUCCCCGAAAUGCGUUGAGGCGCAGCGACUAAUAUUUCUUUUUAGGGGUAAAGCUACUGUUUUGGUGCGGGCUGCGAGAGCGGUACCAAAUCAAGGCAAACUCUGAAUACUAAAAUGUUUAAUUAGUUAGUGAGACAUUGGGGGAUAAGCUUCAAUGUCAAGAGGGAAACAGCCCAGAUUACCAGUUAAGGCCCCUAAAUAAUUACUAAGUGAUAAAGGAGGUGGGAGUGCAUAGACAAUCAGGAGGUUUGCUUAGAAGCAGCAAUCCUUUAAAGAGUGCGUAAUAGCUCACUGAUCGAGUAAACCUGCGCCGAAAAUGUAUGGGACUAAGUAAUUUGCCGAAACUGUGCGAUAUAUAUUUAUAUAUCGGUAGGGGAGCGUUCUGUUGUAGGUCGAAGUAUUAGCGUAAGCGGAUAUGGACGAAGCAGAAGUGAGAAUGUCGGCUUGAGUAACGAAAAUAUAGGUGAGAAUCCUAUACCCCGAAAACCCAAGGUUUCCUCCGGAAGGCUCGUCCGCGGAGGGUAAGUCAGGACCUAAGGCGAGGCUGAAAAGCGUAGUCGAUGGACAACGGGUUAAUAUUCCCGUACCAUUUUUUAUUGAUAUCGAGGGACGGAGAAGGCUAAGCUAGCCGGAUAUUGGUUUUACCGGUUUAAACGUUCGAGAUGUUGAGAAGCGGAGAAAACGCUUUGAGUUGAGACGUGAAUACGAGACGCUAAGGCGUCGAAGUAGUGUAUGUCAUACUUCCAAGAAAAGCUUGCACUGUCAUAGAUAAAAAAUGCCUGUACCAUAACCGACACAGGUGGGUAGGUAGAGUAUACUAAGGGGCGCGAGAUAACUCUCUCUAAGGAACUCGGCAAAAUAACUCCGUAACUUCGGGAGAAGGAGUGCCUUAUUUAUAAGGUUGCAAUAACAAGAUCCAAGCAACUGUUUAUCAAAAACACAGGUCUCCGCUAAGUCGUAAGACGAUGUAUGGGGGCUGACGCCUGCCCAGUGCCAGAAGGUUAAAGAAGUUGGUUAGCAAUUGCGAAGCUGAUAACUGAAGCCCUGGUGAACGGCGGCCGUAACUAUAACGGUCCUAAGGUAGCGAAAUUCCUUGUCGGGUAAGUUCCGACCCGCACGAAAG
rnacentral:rRNA from 1 species